rnacentral:rRNA from 1 species
UGGGGAAUCUUCCGCAAUGGGCGAAAGCCUGACGGAGCAACGCCGCGUGAGUGAAGACGGCCUUCGGGUUGUAAAGCUCUGUUAUAUGGGACGAACGGGCGUAUGGUCAAUACCCAUACGCCGUGACGGUACCGUAAGAGAAAGCCACGGCUAACUACGUGCCAGCAGCCGCGGUAAUACGUAGGUGGCAAGCGUUGUCCGGAAUCAUUGGGCGUAAAGGGCGCGCAGG